CCUACGGGAGGCAGCAGUGGGGAAUAUUGCACAAUGGGGGAAACCCUGAUGCAGCGACGCCGCGUGAGUGAAGAAGUAUUUCGGUACGUAAAGCUCUAUCAGCAGGGAAGAAAAUGACGGUACCUGACUAAGAAGCCCCGGCUAACUACGUGCCAGCAGCCGCGGUAAUACGUAGGGGGCAAGCGUUAUCCGGAUUUACUGGGUGGAAAGGGCGCGUAGACGGCAGCGCAAGUCUGGAGUGAAAUCCCAUGGCUUAACCAUGGAACUGCUUUGGAAACUGUGAAGCUAGAGUGCAGGAGAGGUAAGCGGAAUUCCUAGUGUAGCGGUGAAAUGCGUAGAUAUUAGGAGGAACACCAGUGGCGAAGGCGGCUUACUGGACUGUAACUGACGUUGAGGCUCGAAAGCGUGGGGAGCAAACAGGAUUAGAUACCCUAGUAGUC
rnacentral:rRNA from 1 species